GAUGAACGCUAGCGGCAGGCUUAAUACAUGCAAGUCGAGGGGCAGCAUGACUGUAGCAAUACAGUUGAUGGCGACCGGCAAACGGGUGCGGAACACGUACAGAACCUUCCUUCGAGCGGGGAAUAGCCCAGAGAAAUUUGGAUUAAUACCCCAUAGUAUUACGGAGUGGCAUCACUUUGUAAUUAAAGAUUUAUCACUUGAAGAUGGCUGUGCGGCUGAUUAGGUAGUUGGCGGGGUAACGGCCCACCAAGCCUGCGAUCAGUAACUGGUGUGAGAGCACGACCAGUAACACGGGCACUGAGACACGGGCCCGACUCCUACGGGAGGCAGCAGUAAGGAAUAUUGGUCAAUGGACGAAAGUCUGAACCAGCCAUGCCGCGGGAAGGAUGAAGGUCCUCUGGAAUGUAAACUUCUUUUAUAUGGGACGAAAAAAGGCUUUUCUAAGUCGUCUGACGGUACCAUAUGAAUAAGCACCGGCUAACUCCGUGCCAGCCGCCGCGGUAAGAC
rnacentral:rRNA from 1 species